rnacentral:tRNA from 1 species
GAGGUAUUAGUAAAAUUUACAUAACUUUGUCAAAGUUAAGUUAUAGGUGAAAGUCUUAUAUACCUUC